AACGAACGCUGGCGGCAGGCUUAACACACGCAAGUCGAGCGCAUCCUUCGGGGUGAGCGGCAGACGGGUGAGUAACGCGUGGGAACGUACCCUUUGCUACGGAAUAGCUCCGGGAAACUGGAAUUAAUACCGUAUGUGCCCUUCGGGGGAAAGAUUUAUCGACAAAGGAUCGGCCCGCGUUGGAUUAGCUAGUUGGUGGGGUAAAGGCCUACCAAGGCGACGAUCCAUAGCUGGUCUGAGAGGAUGAUCAGCCACAUUGGGACUGAGACACGGCCCAAACUCCUACGGGAGGCAGCAGUGGGGAAUAUUGGACAAUGGGCGCAAGCCUGAUCCAGCCAUGCCGCGUGAGUGAUGAAGGCCUUAGGGUUGUAAAGCUCUUUCAACGGUGAAGAUAAUGACGGUAACCGUAGAAGAAGCCCCGGCUAACUUCGUGCCAGCAGCCGCAGUAA
rnacentral:rRNA from 1 species